rnacentral:rRNA from 1 species
AUUAGAUACCCUGGUAGUCCACGCAGUAAACGAUGAAUACUAACUGUCCGGGUCGAUUGAGACCUGGGUGGUACAGCGAAAGCGUUAAGUAUUCCACCUGGGGAGUACGCCGGCAACGGUGAAACUCAAAGGAAUUGACGGGGGCCCGCACAAGCGGAGGAACAUGUGGUUUAAUUCGAUGAUACGCGAGGAACCUUACCCGGGCUCAAACGACGGAUGAAUGUUUUUGAAAGGAGGCAGCCCUUCGGGGCGUCCGUCGAGGUGCUGCAUGGUUGUCGUCAGCUCGUGCCGUGAGGUGUCGGCUUAAGUGCCAUAACGAGCGCAACCCCCAUCGCCAGUUACCAUCAAGUAAAGUUGGGGACUCUGGCGAGACUGCCGGCGCAAGCUGCGAGGAAGGCGGGGAUGACGUCAAAUCAGCACGGCCCUUACGUCCGGGGCGACACACGUGUUACAAUGGCAGGCACAGAGAGAAGCGACAUGGCGACAUGAAGCGGAACUGUCAAAACCUGUCUCAGUUCGGAUUGGAGUCUGCAACCCGACUCCAUGAAGCUGGAUUCGCUAGUAAUCGCGCAUCAGCCACGGCGCGGUGAAUACGUUCCCGGGCCUUGUACACACCGCCCGUCAAGCCAUGGAAGCCGGGAGUGCCUGAAGUGUGCAACCGCAAGGAGCGCCCUAAGGUAAAACCGGUGACUGGGGCUAAGUCGUAACAAGGUAAC